rnacentral:rRNA from 1 species
CGACACACUAUCGUUAACUGAAUACAUAGGUUAACGAGGCGAACCGGGGGAACUGAAACAUCUAAGUACCCCGAGGAAAAGAAAUCAACCGAGAUUCCCCCAGUAGCGGCGAGCGAACGGGGAGCAGCCCGGAGUCUGAAUCAGCUUGUGUGUUAGUGGAACGGUCUGGAAAGUCCGACGGUACAGGGUGAUAGUCCCGUACACGAAAACACACUUGCUGUGAACUCGAAGAGUAGGGCGGGACACGUGGUAUCCUGUCUGAAUAUGGGGGGACCAUCCUCCAAGGCUAAAUACUCCUGACUGACCGAUAGUGAACCAGUACCGUGAGGGAAAGGCGAAAAGAACCCCGGCGAGGGGAGUGAAAAAGAACCUGAAACCGUGUACGUACAAGCAGUGGGAGCACCUUCGUGGUGUGACUGCGUACCUUUUGUAUAAUGGGUCAGCGACUUAUAUUCUGUAGCAAGGUUAACCGUAUAGGGGAGCCGAAGGGAAACCGAGUCUUAACUGGGCGUUAAGUUGCAGGGUAUAGACCCGAAACCCGGUGAUCUAGCCAUGGGCAGGUUGAAGGUUGGGUAACACUAACUGGAGGACCGAACCGACUAAUGUUGAAAAAUUAGCGGAUGACCUGUGGCUGGGGGUGAAAGGCCAAUCAAACCGGGAGAUAGCUGGUUCUCCCCGAAAGCUAUUUAGGUAGCGCCUCGUGAACUCAUCUUCGGGGGUAGAGCACUGUUUCGGCUAGGGGGCCAUCCCGGCUUACCAACCCGAUGCAAACUACGAAUACCGAAGAAUGUUAUCACGGGAGACACACGGCGGGUGCUAACGUCCGUCGUGAAGAGGGAAACAACCCAGACCGCCAGCUAAGGUCCCAAAGUCAUGGUUAAGUGGGAAACGAUGUGGGAAGGCACAGACAGCCAGGAUGUUGGCUUAGAAGCAGCCAUCAUUUAAAGAAAGCGUAAUAGCUCACUGGUCGAGUCGGCCUGCGCGGAAGAUGUAACGGGGCUAAACCAUGCACCGAAGCUGCGGCAGCGACACUUAUGUGUUGUUGGGUAGGGGAGCGUUCUGUAAGCCGUUGAAGGUGUGCUGUGAGGCAUGCUGGAGGUAUCAGAAGUGCGAAUGCUGACAUAAGUAACGAUAAAGCGGGUGAAAAGCCCGCUCGCCGGAAGACCAAGGGUUCCUGUCCAACGUUAAUCGGGGCAGGGUGAGUCGACCCCUAAGGCGAGGCCGAAAGGCGUAGUCGAUGGGAAACAGGUUAAUAUUCCUGUACUUGGUGUUACUGCGAAGGGGGGACGGAGAAGGCUAUGUCAGCCGGGCGACGGUUGUCCCGGUUUAAGCAUGUAGGCGGAGGUUCCAGGUAAAUCCGGUACCUU